rnacentral:autocatalytically_spliced_intron from 1 species
GUGCGACGUGAAAGUUGCACCACAGAAGUCCCUUGAAAAAGGGUAAGGUUGAUCCGAAACCUUAUUGCCACUUACUCGGUGCAAGAGGAGUAAUUCUCUUGUGCUAAGCGAGAAUGAAAGCCUAACUAAAGUAUUAAGCUGAAUAAGAAAUAGGGGCUAGGCAAAAUUGAAAUGGGCUGAAUAAAGUGAAUCUCCGUGAUUAAAAUGUCGUCAGCAACGAAAACACGAAAUCAGAUGUGACGUGUUAAGGGGAAAUUUAACGACAGUUAGAAACGGGUAAAGAAGAGUGUUCGUUCUUUACGACGGAUCCCGUUCCCCGGCAUAGAGGAGGCAGCCCACUCAAUGUAUCUUCAUGGUGUGAAACACGGUAACCCCAUUAAUCUUUUAGUGUUGAUGUAAAUACUAAGAGACAGUGGGCAUAAGACGUUCCAAAAAGCGAAGGCAAUCAGCCGAAAGGCAACUGGAAAUCAUAACAGGAUUGAUAGAGGUAAUUACUUUACUCUGAAAAGAGGCUGACGUGGAACGGGUGACUUACCCAUAUAAUCCUUUACCAAGGUUAUGAAUUGAUUUAGAAGAGUUAGAUGCCUAUGGCAAACGUAAUAAAUCAAAACUAUGAACAACAACUGGAAUGGCAUGCUAUUAACUGGCGUGUUGUGACAGCCAUGAUUAAUAAUCUAAGGCAAAGAAUAUAUAGGGCUUCAGCAACAGGUGACUUAAAGAAAGUCAGAAAUCUGCAAAAACUCAUGAUGAAAUCAAGAGCUAACCAUCUUCUGGCUAUCAGGAAAGUCACUCAGGUCAAUCGGGGAAAACACACGGCUGGAGUAGAUAAUCAGGUAAUUAAUGACCAUAAAGGACGAGAACAUCUUUAUAAGUUAUUAAGCCAAACAACUUCAGAAAAGGUUUAUCCAGUAAAACGAGUUUACAUAGCAAAAAAGAAUGGAAAAAAACGCCCUCUUGGGAUCCCAACCAUUCUCGACCGCUGUAGACAAGCGAUAGUUAAAUCGGCGCUGGAACCUUAUUGGGAAGCAAAAUUUGAACCAGUCAGCUACGGAUUUAGACCGGGGCGAAGUGCCCAUGACGCAAUACAAAAAAUUUUCUGUAUUGCCAGAGCACGAGGGACACGGCACUGGGUACUAGAUGCAGAUAUUAAAGGCGCAUUUGACAACAUUGACCAUAAUUUUCUCAUAAAAAAAAUCGGGGGAUUCCCCGAAAGAAACAUGAUUAAACAAUGGUUACAAGCCGGUGUGCUGGAACAUGGCAACUAUAUACCCAAUGUUGCAGGUACUCCGCAAGGCGGGAUUAUCAGUCCACUACUGGCCAAUAUUGCACUCCACGGAAUGGAGACCUUACUGGGUAUUCAAUACUGGAAAAACGGCACGCCAAAACAAGGGCAACCUUAUGCAGUAGUUCGUUAUGCGGAUGAUUUUGUCGUAUUCGGUAAAUCCCGUGAAGAGUGCGAAACUGCCAAAAUAAAGUUGCAAAUUUGGUUAGCUCAGAGAGGGUUAGCUCUUUCUGAAGAAAAAACCAGUAUCAAACACUUGAAGGAAGGAUUCGACUUCCUGGGAUUUAAUAUACGACAUUAUGACAAUCGCCACAGAAAACGGGGAUAUAUAUUGUUAACGAAGCCCUCAAAGGAGUCGAUGAAAAGGUACAAACAGCAAAUGAGAAUGACCUGGAAAGGUAUUAUCGGUAUGCCGACACAAGAAGGAAUAAGACAACUGAAUGCCAAGAUAAUAGGAUGGUGUAAUUACUAUCGUAUUGGUGCUUCAAAAAGAACAUUCAGUGCAUUAGACCAAUGGAUGUGGAUCCGCCAACGUAGAUAUUUGUAUCGACGUCAUCCCAAUAAACACUGGUGGUGGCGAAGAAAACACUACUUAGGCAAGAUACCAGGUAGAGAAGACUAUUCAGUAUUUAUGGAUAAAUCAACCGGUGGAUUUCUUUGGAAGCAUGCAUGGACAAAAAUACAGCGUCAUUGGCUAGUUCCAAAAAAUGCUUCCCCCGACAAUCCGGAAUUGCGUGACUAUUGGCGUAAUAGGCAGGCACGUAAACAGCCUUUUAUUUACGGUGUCAAAGUUAACCUCUAUAAGCGACAGAAAGGUUAUUGUCCUCUCUGUGAUCAAGAGUUGGACAAUGGUGAACAAUUGCAUGUUCAUCAUAUUCAGCCUAAAGCUGAAGGGGGUGACAACAAGCUGGCUAAUCUAAGAUUGUUACAUGCUAAUUGCCACAGACAAUUACAUAGCAAAAAAAGGAAAAAUGUUGAAGUGAGUAAGUUGCGUGAGCCGUAUGCGGGGUAACUCGCACGUACGGUUCUUGAGGGAGUGGGCACUUGCGGCCUGCUUACCUAAUC